rnacentral:lncRNA from 1 species
CCUACAGAUGUUCCGGAGUGUGGUAUAACUGUUCCAUUUUAAGUUAUAACCGCACAACCCAAGGCUACCAUAUAGAAGUAGAUAGAUAGAAGUGGCAGGUAUAUGGGUGUACUCUUUAGCCCUACAGAUGUUCCGAGGAGUGGUAUAACUGUUCUAUUUUAAGCUAUAACAGCACAAGUAAAGGAGACCAUAUAGAAUUGGACAUAUAAAUGUGGCAGGUAUUUGGGUGUGCUCUUUAGCCCUACAGAUGUUCCGGAGUGUGGUAUAACUGUUCCAUUUUAAGUUAUAACCGCACAACCCAAGACUACCAUAUAGAAGUAGAUAGAUAGAAGUGGCAGGUAUAUGGGUGUACUCUUUAGCCCUACAGAUGUUCUGGAGUGUGGUAUAACUAUUCCAUUUUAAGCUAUAACCGCGCAACCCAAGGCUACCAUAUAGAAGUAGAUAGAUAGAAGUGGCAGGUAUAUGGGUAUACUGUUUAGCCCUACAGAUGUUCCGAGGAGUGGUAUUACUGUUCUAUUUUAAGCUAUAACAGAAAAAGUAAAUGGUAUCAUAUAGAAGUGGACAUAUAGAUGUGGCAGGUAUUUGGGUGUGCUCUUUAGCCCUGCAGAUGUUCCGGGGUGUGGUAUAACUAUUUCAUUUUAAGUUAUAACCGCACAACCCAAAGCUACCAUAUAGAAGUAGAUAGAAAGAAGUGGCAGGUAUAUAGGUGUACUCUUUAGCCCUACAGAUGUUCCGAGGUGUGGUAUAACUGUUCCAUUUUAUGCUGUAACCGCACAACUCAAGACUACCAUAUAGAAGUAGAUAGAUAGAAGUGGCAGGGAUAUGGAUGUACUCUUUAACUCUACAGAUGUUCCGAUGAGUGGUAUAACUGUUCUAUUUUAAACUAUAACAGCACAAGUAAAGCGGACCAUAUAGAAUUGGACAUAUAGAUGUGGCGGGUAUUUGGGUGUGCUCUUUACCCCUACAGAUGUUCCGGGGUGUGGUAUAAUUGUUCCAUUUUAAGCUAUAACCGCACAACCCAAGGCUACCAUAUAGAAGUAGAUAGAUAGAAGUGGCAGGUAUAUGGGUGUACUCUUUAGCCCUACAGAUGUUCCAAGGAGUGGUAUAACUGUUCUAUUUUAAGUUAUAACAGCACGAGUAAAAGGUACCAUAUAGAAGUGGACAUAUAGAUGUGGCAGGUAUUUGGGUGUGCUCUUUAGUCCUACAGAUGUUCCGGGGUGUGGUAUAACUAUUCUAUUUUAAGGUAUAACCGCACAACCCAAGGCUACCAUAUAGAAGUAGAUAGAUAGAAGUGGCAGGUAUAUGGGUGUACUCUUUAGCCCUACAGAUGUUCCGAGGAGUGGUAUAACUGUUCUAUUUUAAACUAUAACAGCACAAGUAAAGCGGACCAUAUAGAAUUGGACAUAUAGAUGUGGCAGGUAUUUGGGUGUCCUCUUUACCCCUACAGAUGUUCUGGAGUGUUGUAUAAUU